GACGAACGCUGGCGGCGUGCUUAACACAUGCAAGUCGAACGGAAAGGCCCUGCUUUUGUGGGGUGCUCGAGUGUCGAACGGGUGAGUAACACGUGAGUAACCUGCCCUUGACUUUGGGAUAACUUCAGGAAACUGGGGCUAAUACCGGAUAGGAGCUCCUGCUGCAUGGUGGGGGUUGGAAAGUUUCGGCGGUUGGGGAUGGACUCGCGGCUUAUCAGCUUGUUGGUGGGGUAGUGGCUUACCAAGGCUUUGACGGGUAGCCGGCCUGAGAGGGUGACCGGCCACAUUGGGACUGAGAUACGGCCCAGACUCCUACGGGAGGCAGCAGUGGGGAAUAUUGCACAAUGGGCGGAAGCCUGAUGCAGCAACGCCGCGUGCGGGGUGACGGCCUUCGGGUUGUAAACCGCUUUCGCCUGUGACGAAGCGUGAGUGACGGUAAUGGGUAAAGAAGCACCGGCUAACUACGUG
rnacentral:rRNA from 1 species